GGAGUGGGGAUCUGGGGUUGUUAAGGCUGCGAAAGGGUAAACUGAACUGGAGAGCUCUAAGAACACUUAAUCCGACAAGGGGCGUUAGACCCAGGCAAUCAUACUGGCACUGUUAGUCUGACAGCGGCCCAGAGACCUGGGGUUAGGGGGAGGAGGGAGGAAAGGAGAGAGGGAUUGUGAGGAAGGGGCGUCGCCUCUGUUGUACGCGCCCUCUCCAGUGUAUUGGGCGGUGCCUCGUUACCUUUUUUUCCCCCUUCGGUCCCACCCCUUCUGCCUCUCUAGCCCGGCCCCUGCGGUCUCUGCUCUGCACCCCAGCGCGGAUCCUGGCGUUGGUCUGGCCUGGGCCGUUGACGUCACCACCAAGUUUGCUGUCCUUCGCGUCCCACGUGUGG
rnacentral:lncRNA from 1 species